rnacentral:misc_RNA from 1 species
AUCACCUCCUUUUGAGCAAAGACAGCAUCGUCCUGUCGGGCGUCUUCACAAAGUACCUGCAUUCAGAGAUUUGCAUCGGCCAGGCCGGUGUGAGAUGUCCCUUUCUGGGGCCUUAGCUCAGCUGGGAGAGCACCUGCUUUGCAAGCAGGGGGUCGUCGGUUCGAUCCCGACAGGCUCCACCAGGGAGAUUAAGAAACAAGCUCCGGGUCUGUAGCUCAGGUGGUUAGAGCGCACCCCUGAUAAGGGUGAGGUCGGUGGUUCGAGUCCUCCCAGACCCACCAUUCUCUGAAUGACGCAUACAUUCGAUCUUUAUACGCAUCAGCACUGUGGCUGGUACGUGUUCUUUUAAAACUUGUGACGUAGCGAGCGUUUGAGAUGUUCUAUCAGACGUGUCGUGAGGCUAAGGCGAGAGACGCAAGUCUCUUUAUUGAUUGAGUCGUUAUAUUCGUAUCCGGGCUUUGUACCCCCGGGUCAUGUAUAACCCGAGGCAACU